AAUUGUGAAUUUAUGUUUCGUUACUGAGAAAACUGAAUCUACUGCUACGCGAUGCUCCCCACAGUUCCGUCCCUCUCCAAUUUUCUCUUCAUUGUCGUCCUUGUGGUCUCUCUUGUCCCUCCCUUGCAGAGAAGACGAACAGCUCUUCAUGAAGAUAAAC